rnacentral:rRNA from 1 species
AUUAGUGGCGAACGGGUGAGUAAUACGUGAGUAACCUACCUUUAACUCUGGGAUAAGCCUGGGAAACUGGGUCUAAUACCGGAUACGACCAAUCUCCGCAUGGGGUGUUGGUGGAAAGCGUUAUGUAGUGGUUAUAGAUGGGCUCACGGCCUAUCGGCUUGUUGGUGAGGUAACGGCUCACCAAGGCGACGACGGGUAGCCGGCCUGAGAGGGUGACCGGCCACACUGGGACUGAGACACGGCCCAG